GUCCUCUGAUGAUCACAGCCAUCGGUCUGACUGUGAUGGUGAUUAUAUUUGGAGCGGUUCUCUGUUUAUGGAAUAAGCAAAGGAAAAACUCACCAAGUUCCAAUGGUAAGGGCAAAUAGUAUAUUUAAAAAAAAAUGCAAUACAGUACAUCUAAUAAAGUGUUUCCCUAUUUCCAAUUUAAGUUGAUGCUGAAAUCCAAGGCACCACACAUUCAACAGAGACUGCAGGUGAUUAUGAGGCGAUCACGGAGACCCAACAGCGGACUGAAGCACACACAGGCAUCACCAUUUAUUCUACUGUCAAUAAAAGUACAGAAGCCAAUCAGAUCCAAGAUCCUCCACUAUACUCCACCCUCUCCGUGUGACUGGAGCCCAGCUGCACCAAAUGAGCUCCAAAACCCAAUGCUGAUAUAUCAGCUACAUAUGCAGCAUUAGGAUACAUGCUAAAGGUUGUGGACAUUUAUUGGGUUAGAAGACCUGGGUGUCUGACCUGAAUCUAUGCAUUUAUGCAUCAAGACACCUGAACCUGACUUGCUUCAGUCAAUGUUGUGGACUGUGUGUUUAGUGUAAGUAGUUAAGGUCUCUUGAAUGUUGUUUUGUCCGAGUGUAAAUAAAUACAUUCUGGUUUGUC
rnacentral:lncRNA from 1 species